rnacentral:misc_RNA from 1 species
AAUCCGUGACUGCCUGUGCGCUGUAAGUGCGACAAAUUUUGUUAAAUAAGUUUGAUAAUCGUUAUCAAAGUAGAAUAUAUUUUCUAAUUAUUCCUCUACACCUAUGCUAUUGAAAUAUAGUGUGUUCCUAGUCGUAUUCCUUGGAUAAAUUUUUGUCAAUCCUAGUCGAGUGUUUUAAGCGAACUUUUAUUUUUUUUUGUCAUGGCCGAUAUACUCGAGUGUAUUUACAGCCGGAUCGUGUCAGUGUGCGAUGGUAAACGUCAAUUGUACUCAACAAUUCGUUAAGAGCUGGUGAAGUUGCUAGUGUCAAGCAACGUGAAACAUGGGUGACGAUAAUAAUGGGCAGACGAACGGGUGUCGAUGCGGAGAUAGACGCUACUAUUAGCGAGCUGGAAGUGCUCGUCGCGUCGGAGGUUGAAAGGGAAGACGAGGGGGAGGGGAAGGAGAAUAUAUACGACGGAAGGUCUGCGACGAGAAUGGAAUCGCGGCACCCACGCAAGAAUCGUCUACGUAGCAUCGUCGGGAUAUGCCUGUUCCUUGCGCUGACCGGGAUCAUUUACCUGGGCUACUUCUGCCCUGAUCACGUGUGCGCUUUGACAAACCGCGAGAUUAGGGAGUCUAUUGGAUUGUCAGAGAGCCUGUCCAUCCCUGGGUCACCUGUCGCUGGUUCCGCUGCGCUCUCUUCAGUUUCCAUCGAGCUUGAUAGAAAUGGUUUGCUCUCAGUGCAUCCCGCCUUCAAGCUACAGAGCAUCCAGGGUAGUCUAGGCUAUGAUGACAUCUUUGCCAAUGACACCUUUCAAUUUGAUAUCAACGCUCACGAUGUUAUGGUCUUCCUUCACAUACAAAAAACAGGUGGCACACUAUUUGGCAAACAUCUGGUGCGAGAUUUAGAAUUACAAAGACCAUGCUCAUGUCAACGACGACGCAAGCGUUGCUUCUGUUUCCGUCCAAAUCAUAACGAAAAUUGGUUAUUCUCACGAUACUCUACCGGCUGGAAGUGUGGAUUACAUGCGGAUUGGACCGAAUUGACAAAUUGUGUUGAUACGGAACUUAAUAAAAUUGAAGGAGAUGGAAUUAAGCGCCGUUACUUUUACAUAACUAUCAUAAGGGAUCCCGUUGCAAGAUAUCUCUCUGAGUUUAGGCACGUGCAGAGAGGUGCUACAUGGAGAGGUGCUCGUCAUUGGUGCGGAGGUACUCAAGCAAAUAUACCUCAGUGUUACGAUGGUCCCAAUUGGAAAGGUGUUACCCUGGAAGAGUUUAUGGAAUGCCCCUACAAUUUGGCAAGAAAUCGUCAAACGAGAAUGCUGGCAGAUCUAUCGAUAGUUGGCUGUUAUAACUCCACUCUUAGCAAAACUGAUAAAGAACGUCUAAUAUUAGCUAGUGCUAAACACAACUUACAAUUUAUGCCUUUCUUCAUGCUGACUGAAUACCAGAAGGUGGGGCAGUACACCUUUGAAGAAACAUUUAAAAUGCGAUUUGCGGUUGCAUUUGAGCAGCAUAAUGCCACACUUAGUGCAGCCACUAUGGCAACCCUCAGUAUAGAACAAUUAGACGCCGUACGUAAACUCAACAGUCUGGACCUAGAACUCUACGAAUUUGCAAAGAAUCUUGCUUUUCAAAGAUUUAAACGGCUUAGAGAUCGUGAUCCACAUUUCGUACAACGAUUCCAACACCUUGGUGAAUUGCCAUCGAGGCAAAGUGCCACAGAAUUUAAUUGGGAUUCUGUCAUUGAAGAUACCACGGAUAACGAAUGAUGUAUUAUAUUACAAGAUAAUAAUAUUCAGUAAUAAGAUGUGAUGUCGUAACAUCCCUUCAUUGAAAGACGAGAAAGAAUUGAGUCCACACACAGCAAAGUAAAAAUACAAAGAAUAUAACGUCAUUGGUUAACAUGUCUAACAAUCAACAUGGAAAAGAUACAAAUUAGGAACAAUGAAAAGUGCAAAGGGAAGUGCCAGAAAGAAAAACAAUUAGAGAACACAUAAUAUACAACUAAUCA